CAGGCCUGCCCCUCCCUCCAACCAAGACCGUGUCAAGUGGAAACAUGGCUCUGAGACGCGGCACAGACAAUACCUCUGGCUUUAAGGACCGUCACACGGAGCCGAUUCCUUAAACAACUGUACAGCGUCACAGGGAAGGGACAGAGGCCAGGAAAGAACUACUACACUUGUCUAAUUAUUUCAGCGCAGCCCCAAUGCAACGCUACCUUGACUACUUUGACCCUUGGCGUAAAUGCAGAUUUGUGGAUGUCUCCUAUUCCAUGGGCGAGUUCUUGUGAUAUCAUAAAGAGGAACACUAUGGCCCAGGGAUUUGAAGAGAUUGCCCAGAAUCAAUAACACCCAAAAGGAAAGAGUGCAGUGACCACGCAGUUCCCUAACAUAGCUGUAGCCCCCAGGCCCUGAAUUAUGAAAAGAGCCUUCAGUUUCGUCACAAUGCAGAGUUUGAAGCACUUCCUGACCUUUCCCCUAGUGGGCAGAAGUAUCUACUUUGCAGAAGAACUAAUGUUGUGACUGGAAGGCUGGAAGGAAAGGCUGGGCUCUGCAGUGCAGCAAGGAGGGAGACAUAGAGUGACUGAAGUCCAAGGUCCAGUGGUGAAAUGAAAAGACCGUCAGCAGAUAUUUGACCCAAGAAGGAGGCAUCCGGAUGGAAGUACUGUGAGUUCUUAUGAGGGAACCCUGAAUACCAGGAUGGUACUUGAUUAUCACCGGCUACAGAUUCUCAACAGCCCUAGUUUUCCGGGUGUGAUCUUUGAUGCAAACCAGCAUCAUCAACCAGGAACAGAGCUGGACACAGGCCAGCUUUCUGCGGUAUUUCCUCAUACAGCUCUCCCCUCCAUGCCUUUGUUCCUAGCUGUUUUGCUGAUCGAAUGGAGAGAAAGAGACCUCGUGAGCUGGUAUGACUCUGACAGCUUGACUUCUGGCAGCUGCUGGACCUCAGAGCAUAAUUUCCUCCCUCGUGGGUUAUCAGAAUCAAACACCCCUGGCUAAUCAGGAUUUCAAAGGAUGCAGAUAUCCAGUUUAAUUUAAGAGGAUUAUUCCAAAACAGCUCCGAGUAGGGCAUUUGGACUUUGAGCCCCCUAACCGUUCGCUCAAGCAGGCAUCAGAGGCGGCUGGAAUCUUGAACUUUUUCCAGGAAAGGGAAGAGAUUUCAAUAUAAAAGAGCAGUGGAUGUCUUCAGUCUUAGCCCCAGCACUGGGAAAGGUACCUAAUCCCCCUGGGCUUUAACUUCCUCAUAUGUUUAAAAAAAGAGGAUUUGACCAGAUGACCUCUCCAAUCUCUUCUAGCCCUGAAAUUCUCUGACUGUAAUCUCUAAGGCCUCUUCUAGCUGUAAAAUUGGGGAACUGAAUAAUUCAAACUCCUCUCGGCCACAAGCAUCAAGAACGCUGAAGAGCUCCGUAUCUAUUCCCUCGCUGCCUCAGUUUGGUACUGAAAGAGGUGGCAAAGGUCAUAUUUAUACAAAGGACUUCCCAUGUGCUACUCACUGAGUUUCAACUUUCUUCUGGAAAGUCUGCGGCCUACAGCCUCACCCCCCAUACUGUGAAGACAAAAUUGUUUACAAAAUCCCACGACUCGGAGAUCUAACGCUAGUUCUACAGACGGAAGCGUAUAUACUAAUAUCAUUCCUAAGAACAGUGUGCCUGGGAAAAAGGCUCUAGGGUCACAUAAAGUUCCAAAACACCGUCCUUGGUCCCCUCUCAUUGAUGGAUCACCUUACAGAAGAGCAUAUUGGAGCAUAACACGCCCUGCACUGGAGAAAACUUCUUGAACUUUGCUUGCCUUACCAUUUCCCAACAUUUGACCACCGAAGUCUAUUUAUUUUCCCUCUGAAACAUUUAUUAUCAUUUUCUAAACUAGACCUCCACAAAACCUAUGUAGGAAGUGCUCCUCUGAGCAUCACCUCCCACUUGGUAGAUGCAGGGCGUUCCUUCAACCUGCAAAUUCUUCAGCCCCACCCCCUGACUUACUGAAUCAGCAUCUUUGGAGAUGGAGUCAAGAUAUAUCAGCCUUCCCAAGCUCCCCAGUGGGAGCUGGAAUGGUCCCCAGUGGAACAAUGCUGUAGUG